UACGAAGGGGGCUAGCGUUGCUCGGAAUUACUGGGCGUAAAGGGAGCGUAGGCGGACAGUUUAGUCAGUGGUGAAAGCCCAGGGCUCAACCUUGGAAUUGCCAUUGAUACUGAUUGUCUUGAGUAUGGGAGAGGUGUGCGGAACUCCGAGUGUAGAGGUGAAAUUCGUAGAUAUUCGGAAGAACACCAGUGGCGAAGGCGGCACACUGGCCCAUUACUGACGCUGAGGCUCGAAAGCGUGGGGAGCAAACAGG
rnacentral:rRNA from 1 species